GACGAACGCUGGCGGCGUGCUUAACACAUGCAAGUCGAACGGAAAGGCCCUGCUUUUGUGGGGUGCUCGAGUGGCGAACGGGUGAGUAACACGUGAGUAACCUGCCCUUGACUUUGGGAUAACUUCAGGAAACUGGGGCUAAUACCGGAUAGGAGCUCCUGCUGCAUGGUGGGGGUUGGAAAGUUUCGGCGGUUGGGGAUGGACUCGCGGCUUAUCAGCUUGUUGGUGGGGUAGUGGCUUACCAAGGCUUUGACGGGUAGCCGGCCUGAGAGGGUGACCGGCCACAUUGGGACUGAGGUACGGCCCAGACUCCUACGGGAGGCAGCAGUGGGGAAUAUUGCACAAUGGGCGGAAGCCUGAUGCAGCAACGCCGCGUGCGGGAUGACGGCCUUCGGGUUGUAAACCGCUUUCGCCUGUGACGAAGCAUGAGUGACGGUAAUGGGUAAAGAAGCACCGGCUAACUACGUG
rnacentral:rRNA from 1 species